CCUACGGGCGGCUGCAGUGGGGAAUAUUGGACAAUGGGCGAAAGCCUGAUCCAGCCAUGCCGCGUGUGUGACGAAGGCCUUCGGGUUGUAAAGCACUUUCAGUGGGGAAGAAAGCCUUGGGGCUAAUACCCUCGAGGAAGGACAUCACCCACAGAAGAAGCACCGGCUAACUCCGUGCCAGCAGCCGCGGUAAUACGGAGGGUGCGAGCGUUAAUCGGAAUUACUGGGCGUAAAGCGCGCGUAGGCGGUCUGAUAAGCCGGUUGUGAAAGCCCCGGGCUCAACCUGGGAACGGCAUCCGGAACUGUCAGGCUAGAGUGCAGGAGAGGAAGGUAGAAUUCCCGGUGUAGCGGUGAAAUGCGUAGAGAUCGGGAGGAAUACCAGUGGCGAAGGCGGCCUUCUGGACUGACACUGACGCUGAGGUGCGAAAGCGUGGGUAGCAAACAGGAUUAGAUACCCGUGUAGUC
rnacentral:rRNA from 1 species